CAUCACACUGAUGCAACUUUUUCAGCUGCAAAACAAGAAAGGGGGAAAUGAAGGAGACUACCUUAAGAUGAUGCUCAGCAGGCUUUGACCAUGUUCUAUUGGCUUACUGCAAUUGGCUUAUAAUUCAGAGUUGGUCUGAGGUUUAAAUGCACAGCUUAAUGGCUACAGCUGUCAUGCAGAAAGAGAACUCUAUGUGCCACUGGUCAUGGCUGAGACCAGCCCAGGUCAGUGAUACCAUAGUGCCUGUAUUAGCCGAUAACAUCUGCAGCUGAAGACCCUCUAUAAAAGAUUCCAAGGAUUUGCCUCCCCUAAUCUGUGCCAGUGGGCAGCCAAGCACAAGGACAUCACCCCUGGGUCUGGUCAGUACAAAGGGGUCAAAGAGAGAGGCUACUUCCAGCCCACACAAGCAGCACUUUGAAGCUAUUGUUUGAUUGUCUUCUGGCAUCGAUGUUGCUGAUGAAAAGACUGAGGUCAGUUUAAUGAGCUUGUCUUUGCAGGUAAUCUUUUCUCUCUGUCUCUCUCAGAGCUUUUAUGAUUUUAUCUGGAAUAUUCUGCAGUGUCACUAUGCUUUGCCCAAGUGCAGAUUUAUCUUUGUUUAUUUUGCUUGGCACUUGGUGUACACUUUCAAUCUGAGAACUCAUCAUAUCUCAUCAAUUCUUAGCCAUUUCCUCUAUGAAUAUUGCC
rnacentral:lncRNA from 1 species